rnacentral:rRNA from 1 species
AUGUGUUUUUCUUGGAGUGUCUUGUAUGAUUUAAGUUUUUGCUUUUUAGUUUGCCACAAUGCGCCUACCUUUAUCGAGUUAGAUAUGAAAUUAUCCAUCUUUGAAACAUGUAUUAAGGUCAUCGAUCUUUUAGCUCCUUAUCGACGUGGAGAAAAAAUAGGACUAUUUGGGAGGGCUGGAGUAGGUAAAAUAGUACUGAUCAUGGAAUUAAUCAAUAACAUUGCUAAAGCUCAUGGGGGCAUAUCCGUAUUCGGUGGAGUAGGGGAACGGACUCACGAUUGCUAUAGGAGUUCCAUCCUCAACCUAUGUAUGCUCAAAGAACUGGAUCAUGGAACUCUCAGCCCUUCGCCCCAAGGCUACGAAAAUGUUUCUACUCCCUUUCCCUUCCCAAUGUCAUAUCUUUCUUCGACAAGAAGUAAAGAGACCUUACCACCUUAUUCUAAUAGCCCGCAUCAAUUCCUCUGCCCAUAA